UAAGCGUGUAGGUGUGUGUUCCAGGUAAAUCCGGUUCACUUUAACACUGAGGCGUGACGACGAGGCACUACGGUGCUGAAGCAACAAAUGCCCUGCUUCCAGGAAAAGCCUCUAAGCAUCAGGUAACAUCAAAUCGUACCCCAAACCGACACAGGUGGUCAGGUAGAGAAUACCAAGGCGCUUGAGAGAACUCGGGUGAAGGAACUAGGCAAAAUGGUGCCGUAACUUCGGGAGAAGGCACGCUGACACGUAGGUGAAGUGAUUUACUCAUGGAGCUGAAGUCAGUCGAAGAUACCAGCUGGCUGCAACUGUUUAUUAAAAACACAGCACUGUGCAAACACGAAAGUGGACGUAUACGGUGUGACGCCUGCCCGGUGCCGGAAGGUUAAUUGAUGGGGUCAGCGCAAGCGAAGCUCCUGAUCGAAGCCCCGGUAAACGGCGGCCGUAACUAUAACGGUCCUAAGGUAGCGAAAUUCCUUGUCGGGUAAGUUCCGACCUGCACGAAUGGCGUAAUGAUGGCCAGGCUGUCUCCACCCGAGACUCAGUGAAAUUGAACUCGCUGUGAAGAUGCAGUGUACCCGCGGCAAGACGGAAAGACCCCGUGAACCUUUACUAUAGCUUGACACUGAACAUUGAGCCUUGAUGUGUAGGAUAGGUGGGAGGCUUUGAAGUGUGGACGCCAGUCUGCAUGGAGCCGACCUUGAAAUACCACCCUUUAAUGUUUGAUGUUCUAACGUGGACCCGUAAUCCGGGUUGCGGACAGUGUCUGGUGGGUAGUUUGACUGGGGCGGUCUCCUCCUAAAGAGUAACGGAGGAGCACGAAGGUUGGCUAAUCCUGGUCGGACAUCAGGAGGUUAGUGCAAUGGCAUAAGCCAGCUUGACUGCGAGCGUGACGGCGCGAGCAGGUGCGAAAGCAGGUCAUAGUGAUCCGGUGGUUCUGAAUGGAAGGGCCAUCGCUCAACGGAUAAAAGGUACUCCGGGGAUAACAGGCUGAUACCGCCCAAGAGUUCAUAUCGACGGCGGUGUUUGGCACCUCGAUGUCGGCUCAUCACAUCCUGGGGCUGAAGUAGGUCCCAAGGGUAUGGCUGUUCGCCAUUUAAAGUGGUACGCGAGCUGGGUUUAGAACGUCGUGAGACAGUUCGGUCCCUAUCUGCCGUGGGCGCUGGAGAACUGAGGGGGGCUGCUCCUAGUACGAGAGGACCGGAGUGGACGCAUCACUGGUGUUCGGGUUGUCAUGCCAAUGGCACUGCCCGGUAGCUAAAUGCGGAAGAGAUAAGUGCUGAAAGCAUCUAAGCACGAAACUUGCCCCGA
rnacentral:rRNA from 1 species